rnacentral:rRNA from 1 species
CGCGCGGAUCUUCCAGAGAUUAGAGUUUGACCCUGGCUCAGGAUGAACGCUAGCGGGAGGCUUAACACAUGCAAGUCGAGGGGCAUCACGAGGUAGCAAUACUUUGGUGGCGACCGGCGCACGGGUGAGUAACGCGUAUGCAACCUACCCUGUACAGUGGGAUAACCCGGAGAAAUUCGGACUAAUACCGCAUAAAGAUAUUUUGAGGCAUCUUAAGAUAUUUAAAGCUUAGGUGGUACGGGAUGGGCAUGCGUAACAUUAGCUGGUUGGUAGGGUAACGGCCUACCAAGGCGAUGAUGUUUAGGGGACCUGAGAGGGUGAUCCCCCACACUGGUACUGAGACACGGACCAGACUCCUACGGGAGGCAGCAGUGAGGAAUAUUGGUCAAUGGGCGGAAGCCUGAACCAGCCAUCCCGCGUGCAGGAAGACAGCCCUAUGGGUUGUAAACUGCUUUUCCAGUGGGCGAAACACUCGUACGUGUACGAGAUUGACGGUACACUGGGAAUAAGCAUCGGCUAACUCCGUGCCAGCAGCCGCGGUAAUACGGAGGAUGCAAGCGUUAUCCGGAUUUAUUGGGUUUAAAGGGUGCGUAGGCGGAUGAAUAAGUCAGUGGUGAAAGGCUGCAGC